rnacentral:rRNA from 1 species
UGCAGUCGAACGGCAGCACGGGAGCUUGCUCCUGGUGGCGAGUGGCGAACGGGUGAGUAAUAUAUCGGAACGUAUCCAAUAAUGGGGGAUAACUAAUCGAAAGGUUGGCUAAUACCGCAUACGCCCUGAGGGGGAAAGCUGGGGAUCCUCGGACCUAGCGUUAAUGGAGCGGCCGAUAUCUGAUUAGCUAGUUGGUGGGGUAAAGGCCCACCAAGGCGACGAUCAGUAGCUGGUCUGAGAGGACGACCAGCCACACUGGAACUGAGACACGGUCCAGACUCCUACGGGAGGCAGCAGUGGGGAAUUUUGGACAAUGGGCGCAAGCCUGAUCCAGCCAUUCCGCGUGAGUGAAGAAGGCCUUCGGGUUGUAAAGCUCUUUCGCAAGGGAAGAAACGAUUUAGGUGAAUAAUCUAAGUUAAUGACGGUACCUUGAUAAGAAGCACCGGCUAACUACGUGCCAGCAGCCGCGGUAAUACGUAGGGUGCGAGCGUUAAUCGGAAUUACUGGGCGUAAAGCGUGCGCAGGCUGUUUUGUAAGUCAGAUGUGAAAUCCCCGAGCUCAACUUGGGAACUGCGUUUGAAACUACAAGACUAGAAUAGGUCAGAGGGGGGUAGAAUUCCACGUGUAGCAGUGAAGUGCGUAGAGAUGUGGAGGAAUAUCAAUGGCGAAGGCAGCCCCCUGGGAUCAUAUUGACGCUCAUGCACGAAAGCGUGGGGAGCAAACAGGAUUAGAUACCC